AAAUUCCAUUACAAAUUUUAGCGAUGGAUGCCUCGGCUCGAGAAACGAUGAAGGACGCAGCAAAAUGCGAUAAGCGCUGUGAAUGGCAGAAUUCCGCGAAUCAAGAGAAUGCUGAACGCAUACUGCAUUUGCUGGUUAUCCCGGCAAAUAUCUCUUUUUCAGGGCAACUGAAACAUUGUGCAAGCCUGUGUGCAGUCCUCCGACUGUUGCUAUCUUGCGUCUAUGUGCGUCAGCGUUGCUUCGGCCGUUGACGCAUCAAAUCCAGUAGUUUCCGACUACUCCAACUCCCACUGAGUAUUACUUCGGUUCACCUAGUGGCGUGUUGGCAGUGGGCAGCUACAUUGCGCAUUUGAAUCUACGAUUCACCUUUGCAUGAAAUCAGAGAAGGCUACCCGCUGAAUUUAAGCAUAUAAGUAAGCGGAGGAAAAGAAAAUGAAAAUGAUUCCGUUAGUAAGGGCGACUGAACCCGGAAAAGCUCAAAUUGUAAAUCGGCUGCAAAGUCGAAUUGUAGUCUUGAGUGGUAAAGCUGGGCGGGCUGCUUGGCGUAAGUCUUUUUGGAAGAAAGCAUCAGAGAGGGUGAGAAUCCCGUAUGCCGUCAAAGCAGCCUACCAACAGUUUACCCACUUAGAGUCGUGUACUUUGGAAAUGGUGCACAAAUUGGGAGGUAACUUUCUCCUAAAGCUAAAUACAGUCUCGAGACCGAUAGCAAACAAGUACCGUGAGGGAAAGGUGAAAAGGACUUUGAAAAGAGAGUUAAAAGUGCCUGAAAUCGCUGAGAUGUAAGCGAAUGAAACCAGUUUCUUGCUGUGAGAUUGCCUUGGGCUUCGCGUCUGGGUGUUGCUCGCAGUUAGGCGUCAACAUGAGUUCGGUUUCAGGUAAGAUCUCCUUUGAUCAAACUUCUCUGCGGAGUUGCCCGAGAUAAGGAUGAGACCUCUAGCUGGACUCAGGCACGCGGGCAAAGUCCAUGUUCCUGUAUUGGGGUGGAAGCAGUUUGAGACUUUUUAAGGCUUGUGCUGCCAAGCUCCAAGAGGGUUUAUACUUUGUUCCAGGAUGUUGACUAAAUGGUUUUUUUCUACCCGUCUUGAAACACGGACCAAGGAGUCUAGGACAUAUGUAAGUAUGCGGGUGGCAAACCUGUAUGCGUAAUGAAAGUAAUAGAUUGGAUUUUUUUGUUUUGCACAAUCGACCGACUUCGAUGCUUGCAGAGAGGUUUGAGUAUGAACAUAUUUCCUAGGACCCGAAAGAUGGUGAACUAUGCCUGAGUAGGGUGAAGUCAGGGGAAACCCUGAUGGAGGCUCGUAGCGGUACUGACGUGCAAAUCGUUCGUCAAACUUGGGUAUAGGGGCGAAAGACUAAUCGAACCAUCUAGUA
rnacentral:rRNA from 1 species